GAUACUUAACGUAAAUCAUGAAGGGAAAUUAUGUCUUAUAUCUUUCAAGUUGAUCACAAAUUAGCCUAUCAAUUACCUGCCCGCAGCAAAACAUCCAUUGAACCAAAGUUCCUACAUUGACUUCUAGAAAGAGCAAAUGUGACAAGAUGGAGAGGUGUAUCUGCCCAUUUUGUUCUUCUUUGAAUGUCUGCUCCUUGAUGAAACAAGAAAAAUUACUCAGAACACAUAACAAAUUGAAGAACAAUGCUGUUAAAUAAAAAAACACAUUGUGACACAUCUCUGGCAAUAUUCUUCAGUCAUUUAUGAUGUGUUAACUUACCAUAAGAUAAACAAAAUCGUAGCAAUCUCUCACUACCCGAGAAACAAGCACACUACAAAAAAAAGGGAAUAUUGAUUUGUGAACAUAAAUUAUUUUAGUGUUUUUAAAGUGAGUGAAAUACAUAUGAUAGUGGGUCUAAGACUUGAAUGAACUUUUCUAUUAAUCAUCCAUCAUCUUACCUCGUCAUCCACUGUCUUACCUUGUCAACCUCAGUCUUACCUCAUUAUGUAGUGCCUUACCUAACAAUAUACUGUCUUACCCUGUCAUCUACUGUCAUGCAUUCUAGUGUACUAUCAACUUUUGUCACUCUUUAUCUUCUAAUGUUGUAAUUCACUAUCUUUUAUCAAUAAAAAAUUUAC